AGUGAACGCUGGCGGUAGGCCUAACACAUGCAAGUCGAACGGCAGCACAGUAAGAGCUUGCUCUUACGGGUGGCGAGUGGCGGACGGGUGAGGAAUACAUCGGAAUCUACUUUUUCGUGGGGGAUAACGUAGGGAAACUUACGCUAAUACCGCAUACGACCUACGGGUGAAAGCAGGGGAUCUUCGGACCUUGCGCGAUUGAAUGAGCCGAUGUCGGAUUAGCUAGUUGGCGGGGUAAAGGCCCACCAAGGCGACGAUCCGUAGCUGGUCUGAGAGGAUGAUCAGCCACACUGGAACUGCGACCCGGUCCAGACUCCUACGGGAGGCAGCAGUGGGGAAUAUUGGACAAUGGGCGCAAGCCUGAUCCAGCCAUACCGCGUGGGUGAAGAAGGCCUUCGGGUUGUAAAGCCCUUCUGUUGGGAAAGAAAAGCAGCAGGUUAAUACCCCGCUGUUCUGACGGUACCCAAAGAAUAAGCACCGGCUAACUUCGUG
rnacentral:rRNA from 1 species